UACAGAGGGGGCAAGCGUUGUUCGGAAUUACUGGGCGUAAAGGGCGCGUAGGUGGCCUUCUAAGUUGAAUGUGAAAUCCCUGGGCUCAACCCAGGAACUGCGUCCAAGACUGGGAGGCUUGAAUCCGGGAGAGGGAUGCGGAAUUCCAGGUGUAGCGGUGAAAUGCGUAGAUAUCUGGAGGAACACCGGUGGCGAAGGCGGGUCUCUGGGCCGAUACUGACGCUGAGGAGCGAAAGCGUGGGGAGCGAACAGG
rnacentral:rRNA from 1 species